UACAGAGACUGCAAGCGUUAUUCGGAUUCACUGGGCUUAAAGCGUGUGUAGGCGGAUCGGUAAGUACCUUGUGAAAUCCCAUGGCUUAACCAUGGAACUGCUUGGUAUACUGCCAGUCUUGAGCCAGCUAGGGGCUACCGGAACAAAUGGUGGAGCGGUGAAAUGCGUAGAUAUCAUUUGGAACGCCAAUGGUGAAAACAGGUAGCUGGGGCUGUGCUGACGCUGAGACACGAAAGCCAGGGGAGCAAACGGG
rnacentral:rRNA from 1 species